CGCCGCCUGCCUGGAAGCCUUCUCUCCGGCCUGCUGGAAGCCUUCUCCCGAGUCUGCCCCGUGCCUCAAGAAUCCAGAGCACCUUCCCGAGUGGCAAUGCUUCUUCAAGAGCGGCCGGUCCAACUCUACCUAAAAGCUUGGGCCCUCUGGGACUGCUAGGAGGGGGAAAUCAGUUUCAGGAUCGGAAAGAAAGCUUUAGGAUAAAUCGGAUUGUGUAGCCGGCUAAAGGGCAAGAGGCAGAACCACGAUUUGAAGAGGAGACAAUCUCGGUCAGGCUCCCACCCCCGGGGUUGAAAUAAGGUCCCAGUUCAUCCCUUCUAAUUAUUUUUCCAAAGCAAUACACCAGCAAAGGUUUGCUUGUCAAAAGUGUGGCAAUACAUAGUGAAAAGAAAAUUGCACUUGAAGACAAGAGGAUGCCAAUGAAGCAGAUGAAGCAGACGGUGGCAGUUCUUCCCUAAGUUUAUUAAUUUCCCACAGAGAGGUCUGUGCAUGGGGCUAUUGGGAGUUGUGGGAGACAGAGAAUGGAACUUCAUGGAGAAGUAUUGCAUUACUUAACCCUGACAUCCAGAAUAAGGAACUUUCUAAGGGAUAAACUUGACUGAUUACUUGUACAUGAAGGAGAAACAGAAAUAAUGGUUUGGUGGGUAGGGAAAAACUACCAGUCUUGUGCCAAAAGUGUUGUUCAGAGGGUUGUUAACUCAUUUCUUUUCCCUUUUGUCAGGAGAAUGAUAAUUGGGAGUUUAAGAAGGGAAAGU